ensembl:lncRNA
AAGGAAUACAAAUGAAUCCCCUUCAUUUGAAGUUGUAGGGAGAAAUUAAGAGCAUAUAAACAUUCCAUCUCAACAUUGGUUGAGAUGGAAAAUGAACCAAGUGGUUUCCUUGCACCAUCCAACCCAGCUCAGCACCUCCAGAGAUGCCCCUCGUCCACAGCAAGCAGGGAAGGAGCUCACGUUACUCCAUGAUAAAUGGAAGAAACUCAUGGAAGCCCACAGUGCCAACCACGUGUGCUGAGCAGAGACCCCGUGCUGAGGGCUGAACGCUCUAAAGACAGCUGUUAGCUUACAGACAGCGCUCAGCGGCACGCAGUGAGCUCAGGUCACCAGUCACACCGCUGCCAGGCACAGCUCAGCAGACCUGACAGAAAGCAGAACCCUGCUUAUACCGAGCUCAGGGAGGAGGCUUCUGCUUUUAUGUUUGCUUUUUAGCAAUUGCAGCUACCAAAGUUGUCGCUUUUCAGCGCCUGAAAUGUCUCGAUGAAAACUGUUUACAACACUUAGUGCUUUGUGCUGAGAUCACUCGCUGCAAUGAAAGCCUGCAUUUUAUUGAAAAGAGCAGACACUUUGCAGGCGGUUUUAUUUCACUCCAACACUUGGAGCUCCCUGGCACAAGGUUUGAGUCUGUGGAUGUGAAGUCAGAGUGAAUUCCAAGUCACCAGGGCUAGCAUACAUCUACGAAGGUAUGAAUGAAGAAAGAAGACAUUUGAUUUGGAUUCCAACAGCAUAACCUCCAGCAAAGGUCAAGCAAAGCAAGCUUUCUACAGCGAAAGUGCGACCAGCUUCUGUGCAUCACCAGAUCACAGCUCACUGCCCUAAGAGCUCAGCACUGCCAUAGCUCCGUGGUGCGGCUGAGCCAAACCAUAAGCUCCAGGGGCUCCUUGCCCAUCUCUCCAAAGCAGAGAGGUAUGACAGGACGCCGGGCAGGUUGCCACACUUCAG